rnacentral:rRNA from 1 species
AACGAACGCUGGCGGCAUGCCUAACACAUGCAAGUCGAACGAGACCUUCGGGUCUAGUGGCGCACGGGUGCGUAACGCGUGGGAAUCUGCCCUUGGGUUCGGGAAUAACAGUUAGAAAUGACUGCUAAUACCGGAUGAUGUCUUCGGACCAAAGAUUUAUCGCCCAAGGAUGAGCCCGCGUAAGAUUAGCUAGUUGGUGAGGUAAUGGCUCACCAAGGCGACGAUCUUUAGCUGGUCUGAGAGGAUGAUCAGCCACACUGGGACUGAGACACGGCCCAGACUCCUACGGGAGGCAGCAGUGGGGAAUAUUGGACAAUGGCGAAAGCCUGAUCCAGCAAUGCCGCGUGAGUGAUGAAGGCCUUAGGGUUGUAAAGCUCUUUUACCAGGGAUGAUAAUGACAGUACCUGGAGAAUAAGCUCCGGCUAACUCCGUGCCAGCAGCCGCCGCGGUAAG